UGAUCAAACGUUCUCGAAGCAAGGCCUAAAAAGAACAUCUGAUCAAGACGCGUUGGUUUACGAUGAGAGGCCUUCUACUGAUUUUCGUUGUGGUACUCUUUGUUACUUAUGCCUCAGCAUUAAAAUGUUACGAAUGUAGGCACUCAAGKACCUUGAAAGAGUGCGAGGCCAGCCAGAGAGUUAACAGCGAAUGUGAACAGGGUGACCGGUGCUUCUUAAUCCGCGAGAAACCCCUUGGAAGGAAAGASAUGUAUGUACGUAAAACCUGUGGUGGCUACGACAAAUGCGAUAAAUUCUGCAAGGACAAGAAGGACUGUACMAUCAAGUGCUGUGCCCACGACUUGUGUAAUUGAAAUUGGGAGAAAAKGAAUUGAUUUAAAAAGAAUUGAUUUAGUUGAUAUGCUUUAGUAGUGAUUAAAUAAAAGUUUGGGAUCAUGGUCCAUUGUAAGUGAUUCCGAAAACAUGCAGAUACU